rnacentral:tRNA from 1 species
GCCUGAGUGGUGGAAUUGGUAGACACACUAGCUUCAGAUGCUAGUAACUUUGUGAGUUAUUUGGAAGUUCGACUCUUCUCUCGGGCA